rnacentral:tRNA from 1 species
AAAGACUUUAAGUUAACCAAACUAAUAGCCUUCAAAGCUAAAAAUAUAAGUAUUAUCUUUUAAGCCUUA